rnacentral:rRNA from 1 species
UACGGGGGGGGCAAGCGUUGUUCGGAAUUACUGGGCGUAAAGGGCGCGUAGGCGGCCUGCUAAGUCGGACGUGAAAUCCCCCGGCUCAACCGGGGAACUGCGUCCGAUACUGGUGGGCUCGAAUCCGGGAGAGGGAUGUGGAAUUCCAGGUGUAGCGGUGAAAUGCGUAGAUAUCUGGAGGAACACCGGUGGCGAAGGCGGCAUCCUGGACCGGUAUUGACGCUGAGGCGCGAAAGCCAGGGGAGCAAACAGG